rnacentral:snRNA from 1 species
GUGCUCACUUCUGCAGCACAUUCACUAAAAUUGGACCAAUACAGGGAAGAUUAGCAUGGCCCCUGUGCAAGGAUGACAUUCAAAUUCUAAACAGUCCAUAUUUUA